rnacentral:rRNA from 1 species
UACGUAGGGACCGAGCGUUGUCCGGAAUCAUUGGGCGUAAAGAGCGUGUAGGCGGCCACUUAAGUCCUGCGUGAAAUCUUGCGGCUCAACCGCAAGCGGUCGUGGGAAACUGGGUGGCUGGAGUGCGGGAGAGGAGAGUGGAAUUCCCAGUGUAGAGGUGAAAUUCGUAGAUAUUGGGAAGAACACCGGUGGCGAAGGCGGCUCUCUGGACCGUAACUGACGCUGAGGCGCGAAAGCGUGGGGAGCAAACAGG